UACAGAGAGUGCAAACGUUUGUUCGGAAUUACUGGGCUUGAAGCGCACGUAGGCGGCGUUGUAAGUGUCGGGUGAAAUCCCACGGCUCACCCGUGGAACUGCCCGGCAUACUGCGAUGCUAGAGUGUGGUAGGGGAGAGCGGAACUCCUGGUGGAGCGGUGAAAUGCGUAGAUAUCAGGAGGAACACCGGUGGCGAAGGCGGCUCUCUGGUCCACAACUGACGCUGAGGUGCGAAAGCGUGGGGAGCAAACAGG
rnacentral:rRNA from 1 species